GGAGUUAUCUUAGAGGAGGAUUGACUACACUUGAUCGUGAUUAUGGAUGGAUUAACAAUAUCCACCAUGAUAUUGGUACUCCUGUGAUUCAUCACCUCUUCCCACAGAUACCUUACUACCAUUUAAUAGAAGCUACUGAGGCAGCAAAACCAGUGCUUGGAAAAUACUACAAGGUACCAGCAAAUCUGAUUCUUUGCCAUUUCACCUAUUUGGGAUCCUACUAAGGAGUUUGAAACCAGAUCAUUAUGUUAGCUGACACCGGAGAUAUUGUUUACUAUGAGACUGAUCCACAACUAACCGUUGCUUCGUAACCAUUGAUGGAAUUGUAUCAAUUCAUGUUGUUUAGAAAGGUUUGCCAAUGUUUCUAACGUAUAGUCAUUGUACUAAAACUUUGAAGGUGAUAAAUAUAAUGCAAUUGUUCCUUUUGGCUCU